rnacentral:rRNA from 1 species
AGAGAUGUGUGAUGACGCAUAUCAAUAAGCGGAGGAAAAGAAACUAACAAGGAUUCCCUUAGUAACGGCGAGUGAAGCGGGAAGAGCUCAAAUUUGAAAUCUUCAAGGUUCUACCUUGACGAAUUGUAGUUUAUAAGAAGUGUUUUCUGUUAGUAGGAGUGGCAAAAGUUCUUUGGAAUAGGACAUCAUAGAGGGUGAGAAUCCCGUAUUUGGUCAUUCUUUCUAGCUUUGUGAUACACUUUCAACGAGUCGGAUUGUUUGGGAAUGCAGUCCAAAAUGGGUGGUAAAUUUCAUCUAAAGCUAAAUAUUGGCGAGAGACCGAUAGCGAACAAGUACCGUGAGGGAAAGAUGAAAAGAACUUUGAAAAGAGAGUUAAACAGUACGUGAAAUUGUCAAAAGGGAAGCGUUUGACACCAGUGUUGUUUUUCCGAAAAUCAAUUACGAAUGUUUUAUUUUUGAGAAGUUAUGACUUCAUCGGCUUGCUUCUCUCUUUAUGAAACUUUCUUAAUGCACUUUUCGGUUAACAAGUCAACAUCAAUUUCUUUUGUUGUGAAAGGGUAUGAGGAAGGUGGCUUUCUUUUCGGAGAAAGUGUUUAUAGCCUUGUACCUCUGCAAUCGGAGAGAUUGAGGUCUGCAGCGUAGAUCCUUCGGGGUUAGAUACAUUUGUGCUAAGUUAUAGCUUUUCAUAGACAACUUGUUGACUAUGUUAAGUCUUGUAGCUUACUCGCUUAUGCUAUUUUACCUACGCUUAGGAUGUUGACGAUCAGCUGAGCGCG